AAGCGUGCGCAGGCGGUCUUGUAAGACAGAGGUGAAAUCCCCGGGCUCAACCUGGGAACUGCCUUUGUGACUGCAAGGCUAGAGUACGGCAGAGGGGGAUGGAAUUCCGCGUGUAGCAGUGAAAUGCGUAGAUAUGCGGAGGAACACCGAUGGCGAAGGCAAUCCCCUGGGCCUGUACUGACGCUCAUGCACGAAAGCGUGGGGAGCAAAACAGGAUUAGAUACCCCGGU
rnacentral:rRNA from 1 species